rnacentral:lncRNA from 1 species
UUCUGCCUGUAGAAGCUCCAUUUUCCUUCCUAUCUCCUCUGGCACAAGGCAUGGUGUGUGGCCAGUAUUGAUUCCUGCUUUCUACUCUUCAAUUUUUGUAGAAAUAGGGAGAGUCGCUCCUUCUACAUGCAUAUGGUUCCUGGAAGGUGAAAUUUUAAUGUAAACCUUUGUGAGAUAUUCACUUCUGAAUGACAAAGGGUCUAUUGACUUUCAUGGAUGUGGCUAUAGAGUUCUCUAAGGAGGAAUGGGAAUGUCUGGAUUCUGCCCAGAGAGCUUUGUACAGAGAUGUCAUGUUGGAGAAUUACAAAAACCUGGUUUUUGUGGGUGUUGCUGUUUCAAAGUCAGAGGUAAUCUUCUGUCUAGAACAAAACAAAGAAACAUGGAUUGUUGAUAGAGAAGAUAUGGAAGGAAAAAAAAACAGGUCUGUCAUGUGAUUGUACCAAGAAGCUACUCCUCAAAGGACAUACACAGAAUUGCAUCCACAACAAAAUAACACGAAGAUUUGUAUGCAGUACACUUUCAGAUCUAUAUCAAAACAAGUUCUGGGAAUAUAGAUGUGAUAGUACAGAGUAUGAACUAUAUGAUUAUGGAAGGGGUCAAUUGGAAAAGCACAUCUUUUUCAUUUCUGAAAAUUAUCAAAAAGCCCUAACUUCCCCUGAAAGAAGUCAGCCUUGUUUACACUCAUUCUCACAACUGGAGGA